CCGGCGGAGGAAAGGGUCGAAAAGCCCGUCUGCGCCCUUUCCGGGGUGGGCGCGGGCGCACGGGGGCUCGUGCGCCCUCCCCCGAGGAAGCGGGUGGGAGGGCUGGAGGGCAGCGCAGGGACCCCCAGACCCGGACUGUUUUAGGAAGGAGAGCCAAGGAAAACCACACUUUCCUGGGGAUAAAAGGCCGGGGAAGCGACUGGUCGGAGUGACAAAGUGGGCCCUGUGGACUUUCUUCACAAGUUUUAUCAUCGCUUUGGGGAGAGAAAAAUGGAGUCUGUGAAAGGUUUUAUGAAUUAAAAGUUGAUGGUUUGGACGAGGCUGAGGUAAUGUCUGUAAUAUAAUAUACAAUUCUAGAAGAGCUUCCUUUAUAACAUAAGGGUAUAUUAAAGAACACCACAAGUGAUAAAUAAAAUCGAGGUUUUCUGUGGUGGCCGAGACUCUCCGUCUGGGUGACGUGCAGUGAUGGCUGUCCUUUCUGAUCCAAGCUUCUCACUGGAGCGGCAGCUCUGCGAAGCAAGCACAGAGAGUGUGAACACUGUGCAUUGAGCAACAUGAUGUACCUUUCAGGAAUACCUAAUUUAAGAUUAGUUUUACUCCACCCUGGCUGGUGUGGCUCAGUGGAUUGCAUUGCUGUCCUGUGAACUGAAAGGCUGCCGGAUUGAUUUCCAGUCAGGGCACCUGCCUGGGUUGCAGGCCAGGUCCCCAAGUGGGGCAUGCACGAGGCAACUGAUGGACCUUUCUCUCCCUCUCUUUUUCCCUCCCUUCCCCUUUCCAUAAAAAAUAAAAAAUAAA